UUUUUUUCUUCUUUCCUUUGGUAUUUUCCCUUGUGGUGCCAUGGCCCUAUUGGGUUGGCCUCACUAGCCCACUAAGGGCUGGUGCGCCACCCUAGGAUCACUAGGCUCACUCCCGGGUGGGUGGGCCCCUCCCAGUGACACUUGGAACCCAUUCGUCACUCCGGGUACACUGCCGGAAAUGCCCGAAACUUUCCGGUGACCAAAUGAAACCAUCAUAUAUAUCAAUCUUCGUUUCCGGACCAUUGCAG
rnacentral:lncRNA from 1 species